GGAUAUCACUACUGAGCAAAUAAUUACUAGUGUGUAGGAUGUAACUACUGAGCAAAUAAUUACUAGUGUGUAGGAUGUAACUACUGAGCAAGAAAUCACUAUUGUGCAGGUUAUCACUAAUCCACAGAAUAUUACUAGUGUGCAUGAUAUCACUAAUCCGCAAGAUAUUACUAAUGUGCAGGAUAUCACUACUGCGCAGGAAAUCCCUAGUAUGCAGGAUAACACUAAUCCGCAGGAAAUCCCUACUGAGCAAGAAAUCACAGCUAAUCGUAAGGGUUGGACCAAUUUGACUUCAUGGAAAAUGGCAGAACGAGAAAGCGAGGACAAUGCUUGGGAAAUGGUGGCCACUAAGAAGCGGCAGGGGGUAUUUUGGUGGCAAUUUAAUUACUAUUGCCGUGAUACUAAAACCAUGUGUUCUUUAAAUGUGUACAGGAAUUUGGGAUUGUGCACAGGCAACUAUAUUUUUUGUUGAUAGAUUUCGGCUGAUGAAUACUUUACGCUGAUCAACAAAAGUGCGGUGAAUAUUAAAUUAAUUCACCAUAAAUAGACCCUGAUGUGUGCUCUUUUUAUAGUGAAUCAAUAAAAUAGAUUAGCAUAGUACUUUAAAG